rnacentral:lncRNA from 1 species
CGUGAUGAGGUAUGUCAUCUAAGUGAAGAUGCUGUCUGGAUGGCUUCUAAAAUAGGCUAGACUUAUCCAUUCUGGAGCAUGUCUUCAUUAUCUCUCGAGGCUCGCGUAAUUUGGAUGAUUGGAUAAAUGACAGUUUUGAUAACAUUCGAAUGAGAAUUUUGUAAUUCCUUUGCAGCUUGAUAUGCUUCAAGAAGAAAACGAUGUUAUUUUAGAUAAGGUUAGCUUUUUUACCUUUCUACAUUUAGACGUAAUUUGGAUGAUUGGAUAAAUGACACUUUUGAUAACAUUCGAAUGAGAAUUUUGUAAUUCCUUUGCAGCUUGAUAUGCUUCAAGAAGAAAACGAUGUUAUUUUAGAUAAG